GCUGAGUAGGUACUAAGCUAAAAAACGUACAGCUGCUGUCUGAUAUCAGGGCAGAGGCCCACUCGAACUUCUCUGUCUUUCUGCCCUCAUCCAUCAUGCUCUCAGGGAAAUAUUGGUCCAACUCUAAGAACCUUCGAGCAUACUCCGACAUAGUCAUCUCACCUUAGACUAGGCGUGCAAAAUGCAUCUCUUUCAAAUGUCAGAGGUGUUCUAGGAGGUACUCUGCAU
rnacentral:lncRNA from 1 species